CCACUAAUUAAUCCCUCACUUAAAGUUAAUGGCACUUACAUUAGCCAACUCAUACUUAAUAUCACAUUUGGAAAUAACAUCCUUGCCUAAUAUUUCUUUACGUCUUCUAGAUCACGAUGUGCACUACGUAUAUAAAACAAAUACGAGGCAUAACAUCCUUCCCCCCUUAGGAACAUUCGUCCUCGAAUGUUAAGUUAGCGUCUUGCAAAAACAAAUUCCAGCGAGGUCUCUCUAAAAGUUAUACCUAUCAACCUGCAUUCCGUAACUUAAAGAUGCCUCACAGCUACAUAAUCUCAUUAUCUAUCAAUAUAGUCAAGCUAGAAAUUGAAUUACCUGCAGGUACGGGGAACAAGUAAGGAUACUUAUUCUUCAUUUCAUCUUCCGCUUCCCAAGUCAUCUCCUCCCUAUUGUUAUUUUGCCACAACACUUUGACGGAAGCCACAUCCUUAGUACGUAACCUUCUAACCUGACGAUCAAGUAUAGCCACGGGUUUCUCCUCAUAUGAAAACUCCUCUGUUACCUGAAUAUCAUCUACAGGGAAUACUCUAGAAGGAUCACCAAUACAUUUACAUAGCAUCGAUACAUGGAAGACUAGAUGUACCGCCUCCAAAUCAGAUGGUAGAUCCAACUCAUAGGCAACCUUGCCUAUCCUACGAACAAUCUGAUAAGGCCCAAUGUAUCUCGGACUGAGCUUCCGCUUCCUACCGAAUCUCAUCACACCCCUCAUGGGUGAUACCUUCAGGAAUACCCAGUCACCAAUCUGAAACUCCAAAUCUCGACGCCGAUUAUCUGCAUAUGACUUCUGUCGACUCUGGGCUGCUAAUAAUCUUUCUUGAAUAAGCUUCACCUUGUCAACAGCAUGCUGAAUCACAUCCGGGCCUAUUGACUUAGUCUCGCCAAUAUCAAACCAACCAAUAGGUGAUCUGCACUUCCUCCCAUAUAAGGCCUCGUACGGUGCCAUCUGGAUACUACAAUGGUAGCUAUUAUUAUAGGCAAACUCAAUGAGCGGCAAGUGGUCAUCCCAGCUGCCUUUGAUGUCAAUAAUACAGGCCCGCAACAUAUCUUCUAGUGUCUAAAUAGUACGCUCAGCCUGCCCAUCAGUCUGAGGGUGAAAUGCUGUGCUAAGGUUCACCUGUGUCCCCAAUCCCUUCUGAAACGAUCUCCAAAAGUUGGUUGUAAAUUGAGCUCCUCUGUCUGAUAUAAUGGACGUGGGAACCCCAUGAAGUCUCACUAUCUCCCUGACAUAUAACCUCGCAUAAUCUUCAACCGAAUAAGUAGUCCUGACUGGAAGAAAAUGGGCCGAUUUCGUCAGCCUAUCUACAAUAACCCAUAUAGAGUCAUACUUCCGUUGAGUGCGAGGUAAUCCUGUAAUGAAGUCCAUAUUAAUCAUCUCCCAUUUACAAGUCGGGAUCUCUAUGUCCUGUAAUAAUCCACCAGACUUUUGAUGUUCGAUCUUGACUUGUUGACAAUUCGGGCACUGAGCAACAAACUCCGCUAUGUCCCUUUUCAUGCCAUCCCACCAAUAUAAGCAUCUGAGGUCAUGAUACAUUUUUGUUGACCCUGGGUGAAUAGAAUAACGGGCAGAGUGUGCCUCUCCCAUAACCUGCCAUCGUAGCCCCGCAGUAUCGGGUACACACAAUCUACCUUCAUAUCGUAACACUUCGUCAGGUGUAACCUUAAAUGGGGUCUUUUCCUUUUGAAGAGCUGCAUCUCUAUACUGUGCCAGAAUAGGGUCCUUGUAUUGGUGUCUCCUUACCUCAUCUAUGAUUGAGGACUCAGCAACCUCUCGAAUAGAAACUACACUAUCUUCCAAAUUAGCUAGACGGACUCUAAGGAUGGAUAGCCGCUGAAUCUCCCAAACCAUAUCCCUCCUUUCUGGUUGUACAUCUGUCAAGCUACCCAUGGACUUACGGCUAAGAGCAUAUGCUACAACAUUCGCUUUCCCUGGAUGAUAUAAAAUAUCAACAUCAUAAUCCUUUAGCAACUCUAACCACCGCCUCUGUCGUAAGUUCAUCUCCUUCUGUUUAAAGAUAUAUUGGAGACUCUUAUGAUCUGUAUAGAUGUCCACAUGGACACCAUAUAAAUAGUGUCUCCAUAUCUUCAAGGCAUGAACCACAACCGCUAACUCCAGAUCAUGAGUAGGAUAGUUCUUUUCAUGCUUCCUAAGUUGUCGGGAGGCAUAGGCUAUAACUUUGCCAUGCUGCAUCAAUACACAUCCUAGCCCAACACCCAAAGCAUCACAAUAAAUAACAUAGCCGUCUGGUCCCUCCGGAAGAGUUAGGACUGGAGCUGUAGUCAAUUUGUCUUUCAAUAGCUGGAAGCUUCCUUACAAGCAUUUGUCCACUGGAACUUGGCUGCCUUUUGAGUUAGCCUUGUCAAAGGCGCUGAAAUUGAGGCAAACUUUUCUACGAAUCUCCUGUAAUAUCCUGCUAACCCCAGAAAGCUGCGUACCUCAGUAGGUGUCGUAGGUCUGGGCCAAGUCUUUACUGCCUCAAUCUUCUGCGUGUCUACCCGAAUACCAUCAGCUCCAAUAAUAUGCCCCAUGAAUGCCACUGAAGUCAACCAGAACUCGCACUUAGAAAAUUUAGCAUAUAACUUCUGGUGCUGAAGCACCCUAAGUACCGUCCUUAAAUGAUCUGCAUGCUCCUCUUCUGAACGUGAAUAGACCAGAAUAUCGUCUAUAAAUACAAUAACAAACAUAUCAAGGAAUGGUUUAAAUACUCGAUUCAUUAAAUCCAUGAACACCGCUGGAGCAUUAGUCAGCCCAAAAGACAGCACUCUAAACUCAAAAUGCCCAUAUCGGGUCCGGAAUGCCGUCUUUGGAAUAUCUGCCUCCCUUACCCGCACCUGAUGAUAACCUGACCGCAAGUCUAUCUUUGAAAAACACUUUGCACCCUGCAACUGGUCAAAUAGAUCGUCAAUCCUUGGGAGGGGAUACCUGUUCUUUAUUGUUACUUUGUUCAACUUCCUAUAAUCAAUGCACAUUCGCAGCGACCCAUCCUUCUUCCUCACAAACAGUACCGGUGCUUUCCAAGGUGGCGUACUAGGCAUGAUAAAGCCCUUCUCUAGCAAAUCCCUCAAUUGCUCUUUCAGUUCUUUCAACUCAGCAGGUGCCAUUCUAUAAGGAGGUAUAGAUAUAGGCUGGGUAUCUGGUAGUACAUCUAUAGUAAACUCUAUCUCCCGUUCUGGAGGAAGGCCUGGAAGUUCCUCGGGGAAUACAUCGGGAAAUUCAUUAACUACCGGGACUGAUUGAAGAGUCGGUGCCUCUGCCUUUAUGUCAUGCACCCGAAUCAGAUGGUAAAUAUAGCCUUUUCUAACCAUCUUCCCAGCCUUGAGGUAUGAAAUGAACUUACCUUUCGGCGAUACUGUACUUCCCUUCCACUCUAUAAUCGGUUCCCCUGGAAAUUGAAAUUGAACUAUCUUUCCUCUGCAAUCAACAUUAGCAUAACAUGCAGCCAACCAAUCCAUGCCCAUGAUAAUAUCAAACUCAAUCAUAUUUAACUCUAUUAGAUCUGCUACGGUACGACAACUAUAUAUAACUACUGAACAAUUCCUAUAUACUCGCGUAGCUAUGACAAAAUCUCCUACAGGUGUAGCUACCUCAAAUGGUUCUAUCAACUCAGACUCUAUUCCGAUCCUACUAGCAACAAAGGGAGAUAUAUAUGAUAAGGUGGAACCUGGGUCUAUCAAUGCAUACACACUUCGGGAGAAUAGUGAUAAUAUACCUGUGAUCACAUUAGGUGACGCUUCCUGAUCUUGCCUAUUAGUCAAAGCAUAUAUACGGUUUGAGGGACCGCUAGAACAGGAAGCUCCACCACGUCCUUUACCACGGCCUGCUGGCGCCUGAAUACCCUGCCCCGUAGGGCGCAUAGCCACAGAAGAAGAUAAACCAGCAACGGACCCUGUAGGCUGUGCCAUACCACCUGCACUACCUCUAAGGUGACAUUCCCUCAUAGUAUGUCCCUGACGGCCGCAAGAAAAACACGCACCUGUAGCCCAACGACAUUCCCCGGGAUGGGACUUACCACAACGAGAACACCGAGGCAAAGGUGGCCUCGACUGGCUCAAACCCCGGCCCAUCUGUGACCCUGACGCCCUAGAGCUCUGACCAGCUUAUGAAUAUCCCAUACGAUCGAACCCCCUACCCAUGAAACGUGGGGGUGCACUCUGUGCUGGCUGGGAAGAAAAUCUAACAUGCUGCUGAGACUGCCCGCUUUGAAACUCGUCAGGAUAACUUGCUGAUCUAGCCCUCUUAUGCUGGCCUCUAUUAUAAUCUCUAUCUGGCUGACGUCCCCGGUGCCGAUCCUCUACCCCCUGUGCAUAUGCCUGCACCCGAGCAAUGUCCAUACCUGGCUGAAGAGUCACUGCCAUACAACCGUCAAUCAGAUAACGAUCCAAUCCCAUCACAUAACGAUGUACCCUGUCUGCCAUAUCAGCCACAAUAGUAGGCGCAUGCCUAGCCAAUGAAUCAAACUCGACGCUAUAAUCUCGAACGUUCCUGCCAUUUCGCUUCAAACGCAAGAAUCUAUCCACUCUAGCUCGCUUCAUCUCUGGAGGAAGGAAGUGGCCCUGGAAAGCCUCCACAAAUUCAUCCCAUACCGCUGGAGGAGCACCCUCACCCCUAGAUAACUCCCAAGACUCAUACCAAUUAAUAGCUACAUCCCGCAAAUGAUACGUAGGCAACUUAACAGACUCGGUCUCCGAAGCCUUGAUUAUCCUCAAUGUACGCUGCAUCUGACGAAUAAACUCUUGCGGAUCAUCCUGGGGCCUUGACCCAAAGAACUCUGGAAGAUUACAACUUAAAGAAAUAUACUUUUUGGAUUGUCAUACCCCAAUCCAAGAUUUAUAUUCAAUAAAUGUACCUGCAAGAAAGAGCCUAAGCUAAAAUUCAAUGUUCAACCAUAUAAACCAUACAACCACACAAAGUACUAAGCAUCCAAGUGUCAAGUCGUGUACCAUAGAACAUGAUCAUUUAAAAUUAUCAUGUAAAUUAAGUAGUUGCAAGACAUGUGAAGAAGCUGCCAAAGGAGGGGACCACCCAAACCGAAUUCGGUUAGGCUAGUUAGGGGGUAAAAAAUGGGCACAAGGGACCACUCCAUGUGGGGCGUCACUUCCUCACCAACUCUAGGUCCUAAAUAACUAUCCCAACUAGCUAUAUAACCUAGCACUAACCAAAAUUGACUCAUUAGUGCAACCGACAACCUAGGACCAAAAUCGGGUUGACACUAACCUAGUACUAGUUAAAGAGACAACCUAGUAGCUUACCUAGGAUGGUCCAAAAGGUUAGUUAUAGUCUUAACAACUUAGAGGUACUUUAGUAAUUUCCCUAGUUUGAAUAAUUAAUUAAUUUUGAGACUUAAUUAAUAAAUUUAAAAGGGCUAAAACCAAAAUUACAAAGGAAAUUUCCUGAUUUCGGUUAAGACAGGAAAAGGACAACCUCGUACCUAACCUAGGAUGGUCCAAAGAGUGAGUUAAGGUCCUAACAACCUAGGUAUUCUUUAUUAAUUAAACUAGGCUACUUAAUUAAUUAAUUUAGAAACUUAAUUAAUUAAUUUAAAGGGGCGAAACUGAAAUCACAAGAAAAAUUCCAGAUUUCGGUUAAAAUAAGAAAAAGACAACCUCGUACCUAACCUAGGAUGGUUCAAAUGAUUGGUUAUGGUCCUAACAACUUAAGGGUGCUUUUGUAAUAACCCUAGGUCACCUAAUAAUUAAAUUAGUAAUUUAAUUAAUUGGUUUAAAUGAUCAAAAUGAAAUCCUUACAGUAACCUAGUAUAAUUCAAGAAACAUCCUAGUACUUAACCUAGGAUGGUCCUAAAGGGUUGAUUAUCAUUCCAAUGACUUGGGGAUACUUUAGUACUUACCCUAGAUCCCUAAAUUAAUUAAAUUAAGGAUUUAAUUAAUUAAUAUAAAGUCAAAAUGUUGACCGAAACUAUAGUCAACACCAAUUUCCAGAUUUGACUAAGUGUUAUGUUCUCCUAUCUUUAGUCAACUUAGGAGGGGUGUUUUGGUAAUUGGUUAAUUAGUUUAUUAGAUUAGCUUAUUAAACCUAAGUGGUAUAAUCCAAGAUCAGUUAUUAAAACUAAAAAUCACGUUCAAAUUCAAAGAAAAGGCGAUGCAAAACAUUAAGCAAUGAAUGCAUGAAAAGGUAGAAAAUUUAUCGAUUUCUCUAGGGAGAUUUCAAGGUUCCUUCAAAGUUUCGUUCAAGGUGGUGUUCGUAGAUUAAGUUCUAAAUAGGGUAUGGGUUUCACUCCUAGACUUCUUUCUCCAAGACAAAUUUCUUUUGAAUGGUUCAAAGAUCUUGAAAACUAGGGUUGUUCCUCGUCAUUCUUGUCGAAAUCCUUUCCCUAGUAUCCUUGUUACGAUUUCAAUGUUGAAUAGGUUAGGAAUCAUGUUGUUGGCAUGUGGUGCUGUCUGAUCGUAAUAUGUAUGUUUUUUUAUCAAAUAAUGAUUGAAUGAACCUAUUAAUUGGACUCGUUUGAUGCUAAGUUUUAUUAUGUGAAUUAAAAGAAUGAUACUAUGUUAAAGAUAUGUGCGAAAAUGUUAUGUAUGAAGAUGUUACUGUCUGUUGUGCAUACUUGCUGUUAGUAUGACGUGAUAAAGAUGACAUAUUCAUCAAAUGCUAAUAUGAUUCUGUCCAAGAUAUUUAAAAAUGUUAUGCCUAAAAUUAUGUUAUAAGGUUGGCUAAAAUGUUCUCCAUGAAAUCAUAAGUUAAAUGAAUAUUUGGGUUUAUGCUAGCAAAAUUGCUAAAAAUGUCUUGCCCAAAACUUGAAUGGAAUUGUCUUACAUUAUUGCUUUUAAAUAAUGAUGGAAAAAUUGGCUAAUAAGAAUCUCAUGAAACUAUAUUUGAAUGAAUGUUUGGCUUGUGGUAAUAAAUUGUCUAUGAAGUCAUUUCCAAAUUUUAUAGGACAAUACUAAAUUUACACCAAUCUUAUGUGCCCAAUAUAAUGCAAUGUAAAAAUAAGCAUGACCAACAAAACAAAAUGAAACCAUACAAAGGGUUUGUCAAUCAAUGGGACAAGUCCCAACAUACCCUAUACUAUCUUAUAUGACUAAAAUGUUGGAACGCCAAAUGAAUAAGCAAAUCUAAAGUAGUUCAAUGAAUCCAUACUAAGGGCAUGCCAUUCAUUCGGACAACUACGAACAUGUUCUAAAUUAUAUGAACUCAUGAAACUAAUUGAAUGAAGUGCUCAUCAUCCAUAAACGAUGAUAUGAAUCUACUAAACUAAAGUAAGUAAGUAACGUGAGUUAUAACAUAAUUAAAGGGAUCUUAAUUAAGUAAGUGACAAGAAUGGGGUGUUAAAGGAAGUGAGACAAGUCUCACUUACACCUAAACUAUGUUAAAAGAAUACAUACGUAUGAAGGUGUUAGAAUGUGUGAGACCAGUCUCAUUAACGCCUAAGGAUGAUAUGUAAGGAUAAUUCACAUUCAUCAAUGUAAAGUAAGGAUUAUAUGUAAGGACAAUGCACAUUUCAUCAAUGUAAAGUAAGGAUGACAAGUCAUCAAAAGAGUAAAUAAAUCUCAUUCACAUUUGAUAUGUAAGUGUAAGGACAAUUCACACUUAAAUCGUAAAAAAGAGAUGAGAAAUCAUCUAAUGAGCUAUGACUACCUCAUGCUAGAAGCAAGCUUCGAUGAUGUAUAAGUUGAAUGUAGAUAGGAACUUUAAACUGAGCACCGAUAGGCUAGUUAUGAGUGGUGAUGCCUUCUUUCGGGAAGGACGGAGGUUGAUGUAAUUCUCAUGAGAUGAGACUGUCCACUAAAGUGGGUAUGGGUCUCCCUAAAUCUCCUAGCCUUUGAAUUAUGCUGCCAAGAUAGGGAACUAGCUAGUGGUUUUCCACCUAAGCGAGCUAGGGAUGUUUUCGUUUCACCUUGGUUAGUGGCUCCACAUGCUUUCGGUGUGGAGAAGACACCGGAUUUCAUGAUGCUCACAUGAUCUAUGUCUGUUAAGGUUGGAGUUCCCAAAGUAUGAAAGAUAAUGAAACAAACGAUGCCAAACGUGUUUGGGCAAGACAAUGAGAAGGUGAAAUCAGAUUCAAAUAAUGACAUUAGGUCAUUCUUGGUCAUUCCACUUCAUGAUCCCUAUGAGAGUCUUAAACUUCAUUCGAAGAACGAAUGAAGUAGACUCUGUGUUUUCUAAAGAAAGCCCUUGGGUUGAGGUCCCAUAUGUUGGGCCCUCACUUGAGAUAUCUUAAUGCUACAUCCAAAAUUACAAGGUCUCGUAGAUAUGAAAUGUAUAAUAUAUAAAACAUGAAAACGUCAAAUAAAUAACCCAUAACUUCCCUAACAUGAAAGUAAUGAAAUCAAUGGAAUGAUCAAUAGAGAAUGGCUUAUGAAAUGUAAUGAAUAUAUAGUUUAAUGAAUGAUUUGCUAUAAGAAUCUUUAAAGCAUGUCCAAUGAAGGUUACAAUAAGUAAAGGGUAUUGCUAAUAAUGAAUCUUCAUGUCAUGAAAAUUAACAAAGACAAAUAAAAUUGGGUUAUAAUGGCUUCCUUUAUUAGAAAAAUAUCAAAGACAAUAAUGAAUUCAAAUAUGCUUAUCCAAAAUGAUUAACUAAUGUAUUUAGCCAAUAAAGAUUGACUUAUAAACAAUUCAUGCCAAAAGUAAGAAAGAUCAUCAGCUUUAAUGAUAUUCCCCAAGAACUAUAUACAUUAUGCAAUCAACUAAAGAAUGAGUAUAGUCAAUAAGUAUUGACUUAUAAAUAUAUUCAUGCCCUAAAUUGUAGUUAAGUCAUUUCCUUAAUCUCUUGAAUUACUUACUUGAUUCAUUGUGGGUGUGACACUACAAUGAAUCAUUGCACUUGUAAGUAAAACAUAGGACCAAAGGAGUUAUUGAACGACACAACAACAAGAAGAAAAAGGCUGAAAAAUAAUCUAAGUGUACAAAGAGGAGCUCUCGGCCAAAGAGGAUCAAAAAUCUCAAAUCUUCACCAGAGUUGUUCUAAAAUUAUCUUGAUGAUACUAAUGUCUUGUAAUCAUUUAGAAAAUGAGUUGUGCGCUUUAUAUGCAUUAAAAUACAUCAUAUUCAUACCACAAUUCACAACUAAUGAUUUAGGAAAGUCUAGUGACUAGGCUUUCCAGAAAUAGCAUUUUAUUUAGGAACAACUUUCUUUGAUCAUGCAUAGCCUUAUGUGUAUGUGUGCAUACACCCAUACUUACUACAAGUAGUAUACUAACCCCUACUAUUUACAAUUUUAUAGAUGUAGGUUAAGGGACAGAUUGACGAUUCUUGCAAUGGUUUGGACAUCAACGUUUCUCCAGACCAUUUGGUAGGUUACUCUUGAUUUCGAGGAUGCUACAAUUUAAGUCUACCCUUAGUUUUUAACAAAUCUAGUGGAUGUUGUCCCUAGAGUUUCUUUCGUACUUUCAUUUCAAAUCUUUUGUAAUAAGGCCAUGUUUGUCAAACGUAUGUAUGAUAUAUUCUUAUUCUUUUUCUAAUUGAUUCUUAUGAUAGAUGAUUGUUACAUUCAUGUUGAGCUUAGUAUAUGAUGAAUUUUAUGAAAUAACUAUAUGAAGCCUAUGUAUACUUCAUACGUUUAAAAGUUUUAAAUUUUCCGCUAAAAAUAACCAUAUGAAUGUGAUGAAUGCAAGAUGAGGCUUGCCUGCGACCUCUGAGACGUCAACGAUGCCGGUUGCAAUCCAGAUUCUAGAAUUCGGGUCGUGACAAACUUGGUAUCAGAGCAUGAGGUUAAAGUACCUAGGAACUAAAGCUCAACCCAAUCAAGUUACGUAAUUUCUUACUUAUGGUUGUGAAGCGCCCCACAAUCAUGACUUAGAGACUACGCUAUGACAAGAAAUUCUCCUUUGUUCUACUCUUUAUCGUGAUAUCUAGAUCUUUGACAUCUUGUGUCAAUAUAAGUAUUUAACUUCCUUCUUGUGUGAACGUUUAGAGGAAUACACAUAAUGGAAAUGCCCAAUGUGGAUGAAAGACGUGUGGUGAGUAAUGGUCGUUCGCAUGGAUUUGAAUGCAUUGUAAUGUCUAAAAGCCUGCUAUGAGUAUUGAUGAGGAGGAGAGGGCUAAGUUGGCUGCAUACCAACUCAAGAAUAUGGCUUAGACAUGAAUUUGCUUCAUAAGUGUUAUGCUAUAAUAGACUAUAGAAACAAGGUAGUAAGGCUUCAGUUUCAAAAUGAGUUAAGUUAUAAUGAGAAGGGCACAGUUCGAAUCCAACAGGCCAAGGUAGAUGCUCAGCCUCGGCCAAAUCCUUAUGCUGUAGCCGACCCCCAAGAGAAACCGGUUCUAUGCAAUAUACUUGGCUUUAUACAUAAAAAAAGUGUGUGGUUUUUGUAAUUUUGGCAUAGGUUUCGGUUAAUUGUUUUGGGUUAGAGUUAGGGUUAGGGUUAGUGUUGGUUUUUUUUUAGUUUUUAGGGUUUGUAGCUUAGGAUUCGACGUUUAAAAUCUAUGGUUUAAUGUUUAAUGUUUGGGUUUUUGUAUUUUGUACUAAGGAUUAUUUUAGGGUUUAGGCUUUAGGGUUUAGGGUUAGGGUUAAGAUUAGGGUUAGGGUGUAGGUUAUUUUUGGUUUUAUGUUUCAGGGAUUGGCAAUUAAAGUUUAUAAUCAUUGAUUUAGUAUUUAAUGUUUGGGUUUAGGUAUUUUAGUUUAAGGUUUAGGGUUUUGGGUUUAUGGUUUAGUUUAGUGUUUCGGUUAGGGUUAUGGUUAGGCUUAGGUUUUCUUAGGUUUUAGGGAUUGUGUCUAAGGAUUUGAUAUUUAAAAUAUAUGGUUUAGUGUUUCAUAUUUGGGUUCUCGUAUUUUGGACUUAGGGGUUUUUUUAGACUUAGGAUUUAGGGUUUAGGGUUAAGGUAUAGGUAUUUUUAGGGUUUUAUGGUUCUGGGUUUAACAUUUGAGGUUUAAAAUCUAUGGUUUAGUAUUUAAUGUUUGGGUUGUGGUAUUUUGGGCUUAAAAUUUUGGGUUUAUGAUUUAGGUUUUGAGUUAGGGUUAGGGUUAGGGUCAGGCUUUUGGUAUUUUUAGGUUUUUAGGUUUAAGUUUUAGGAUUUGAGGUUUACUAUCAAUCGUUUAGUGUUUAAUGUUUUGUGUUUAUAUUUUGGGCUUCGGGUUUAGGGCUUAUGGUAGGGUUAGGGUUAGGAUUAAUGUUAGGGUUAGGGUUAGGAUUCAGGUUUUAGGGUUUUUGUUUAACGGUUUUAGUUUUAAUAUGUAUGGAUUAGCAAUUAAUGUUUUUUUAGCAAUUAAUGUUAGGGUUUGGUAUUUUAGGCUUGAGGUUUAGGGUUAGAAUUAAGAAUAGGGUUAGGGAUAGGGUGCGUGUUAGUGAUAGGGUUAGGGUUAGGGUUCAGGGUUUUUUGGGUUUUAGGUUUUGGAGGUUAGAAUUUUUUGUUUAAAAUUAAUGGUUUACUGUUUAAUUUAUGGGUUUUGGUAUUUUGGGCUUAGGGUUUCGGGUUAAUGGUUUAGGGUUAGGGUUAGGAUUUACUUUUAUUUUAGAUUUUAGGUUUUUUGUGUUUAGGAUUUAGGUAUUGUGGUUUGGGAUUUGAGUUUUCAUAAUUUGGACUUAUGGUUUAUUUGGGACUUCGAGUUUAGGUUUUAGGUUUUUUGGUAAGCAUUAUGGUUAAGAAUUAAUAGGUUUAGGGUGUAGGUUUUUUAGGGUUUAUGGUUCAGGAUUUAGCAUUUGAGGUUAAAAAUCAAUAUUGUAGUAUUUAGUAUUUUGAUAUUGAUAUUUUUGUCUUAGGUUCUCAGGUUUAUGGUUAGGGUUAAGCUUAGGGUUAGGAUUAGGGUUUUGUUUUUAUAGGUUUUUGGUUUUAGGGUUUAGGCUUUGAGGUUUCACAUUAAUGGUUAGUGUUUAAUGUUUGGGUUUUGGUAUUUUUAGCUCGGGAUUUAGAGUUUAUGAUAGGUUUAGGGUUAGGGUUAAUCUUAGGGUUAGGGUUAGGGUUUAGGUUGUUUUUUAGGUUUCAGGGUUUCAGGUUAUGGAUUUGAGUUGUAAUAUCUAUGUUUUAGUGUAAUGUUGGUGUUUUGGUAUUUUGGGUUUUGGGCUUAGGUUUUAGUGUUAGGGUUAAGGAUAGGGUUCAUGUUAGGGAUAGUGUUUAUGGUUUUUUUAAGGUUUUAGGUUUUGGAGUUUUAGGAUUUUUUUGUUUAAAAUAUAUGGUUUAGUUUUUAAUUUUGGGUUUUGUAUUUUGGACUUAGGGACCAUAAUGAUUUAGCGUUAGGGUUAUGGUUAAGGUUAGAGUUAGGGUUUGGGUUAGGGUUAGGGUUAGGGUUAAGGGUUUUUUUUAAGGUUUUGGGGUUCGUUGUUUAGAAUUUGAUGUUUAAAAUCUAUGAUUUAGUGUUUAAUGUCAUGGUUUUCGUAUUUUGGUCUUAGAUUUUUUUUUACUUAGGGUUAAGGGUUAGGUUAGGAUUAGGGUUAGGGUGUAGGUUAUUUUUUUGGGUUUUAUGGUCAGGCUUUAUCAUUUGAGGUUUAAAAUCUAUGGUUUAGUAUUUAAUAUUUGGGUUUUUUUGGCCUUUCUUAUAAUAGUGACAACCCUUGUGGUGGAUCAGGGGCCGAGCAACAUCCCCUAGCCUUAUCAUUUAUUAAAAUUAAAAAGUACAAUAGAGGGGGACAUAAAACUUACCUCCAUUCCUAAGCUGUGUAAUAAGUCGACCAUCCUACUAAGGAUAGUCAACUCUACCCAUCAUAUCAAGUGGUAUUCAAAAUAAACUAACAACCUAUGGAGGACUACUCCUUAAUACAUAGCUUACUAUGAAUACAUAAACGAGGGAGAAUCUCCCCUUUACAAGAAAAGUCUAAAGAAAAUAUAGAUCCUACUCUAAUAACUACAUCAAACAAGAUGUAAUCAUUAUAUCAAUGGUGAAUUGUUAUGUGUAUUACAUAUUAUACAACAUGUUAAAGAUAAGGUUAUUGAUAAUUGAUUAUUCUAAUCAUAUGCAGACCAUCGCUAUGACUCAUAAACCUCUACUUCAUGAUCUUGUCAUUGGUCUACUAGUAUUCGUAGAUUGAAGAGUAUGUCUAGUUGUCUUUUUUCAUUUUUGUGACAACCCUUGUUCGUCUCUAAUAUCUUGUAUUUCGUCUUCAUAUUCAGUGUGGUGUGAAAAGUGGAUUAAACUUCCUGUUCAUCUUCAUGACAUUCCAAGGAUCUCGUAUCUUCAUAAUACACAUCCUCGAACGCUAUAUGACUAUACUCAUCAAGUUCUUCAAUUGUUUCUUGUUGCCCCUGGUGUUUCUUCUUUUUAUAGCAUUCCUUCUUUUUUUUUAUUCAGCCUCUUCUUAGAUUUUGUGUUACUGUCUUGAGGUGAACUUCUUUCCUCUUGAUUUAGACUUUUCUUAUCAUGUUGCUGACUUGAGUUGUGUACUGCAGGAAACUAUGUAGGAUCCGAAUGUAAAGGAGUUGUAUUGCUACAUUCUCCUGCUUGGUAAGUCAAUCCUUGUCUAUGUGUUUCCUUACCCUGCAAAUAAGAUUCUAUACUCUCGUCUAUUUCCAUAUACUCUUUUUUCUCAUCAAAAUUCGUUGAUAACCUUCUUUAUUCAAGUCCGUUAGUUUUUUUUGGGUCUUCCUUCUUUCAAGAGUCAUAAAAAUCCAUUCCAUCAUAAAGGAUAGGUGAUCUUGAGUUGAUUGAACAGAGCUAGUUCAGUAUAAAUUUUGAGAGGACGCCAUAGAAUGUGAGUUGAGAGUUGAAUAUGAGUGAAGUGAGGCUUUUGCUACAAACCUCGUUUCUCACAAAUAAUAUCUCGGCAGCUUUGAAGGCGAAGUAUGCUCUCACACAAUUUGAGGGGUAUGCAUCAACUUGGUGGAUUUCCAAGAGGAGGGAAAGGGAGAGUCAUCAUAUCUAUGAGUUACCUACUUGGAAAGAGUUGAUUACACUUAUGGAGUUGAGAUACUUGACUCCAACUACUAAAACGAGGUGCUUAAGAAGAUGUACAUGUUGAGGCAAGGUACCAAAAGUGUGAAAGAAUAUUAUGAUGAGUUUGACAAUUGGCGGAUGAAGUCUAAAAUAGUAGAGAAUAUGGAAUGUACUGAAAUAUGAUUCGUGGCAAACUUGAGAUAUGAUAUCUUGAAGCCCUUGACGCAUAAGAACUAUGAGACUCUUGAAGAGGCUUUCCAUGAUGCCUCAAAGGUACAAGCAGAUUUGAAAGAAGAAAAGUCAUACCAGGACAAAAGUUCUUUAACUUCCACAUGGAGCACAGGUCACGACGAUUGAAAGAAGACAUCCACGGAGAUUGAUUACAAAUCCAAGGCAAAUGAGCAACCACAAGGAGGUAACUAUGUUAAAUAAAAUUUUCCUCCACCCUCUACAUUUCAAUGCUUUAAUGUCAAGAAAGAGGUUAGGUUGCUAAUGACUGUCAAAAUAGAAGAACAGUUGUUGCUCUUUAUGAUAGAUAUAAGACUGAAGAUGAAGAUAAGGGAGAGGGAAAAAUGAGGGAGAGGGAGAUAGGUAUGAAUGAGAGGGAAGUGUUUGGGGGGAGGAAGAAGAAAGAUUGGAUGAGAGGGUGAAUUUAGUUUUCUUCAUGGAGAAGGGAAGUCUUUGAUAGAUGAUGAUCCUGACUUGAACAUGAAUGCCAUUCUGUCGUGUAUUGUGAGAAGAAUUGUGGGAGCCCUUGCAAAAGAAGAACCUGACCAAAGGGAGAAUUUAUUUCAUGCUAGGUGCAAAAUCCAAGAUAAAGUGUGUUCCUUAAUCAUUCAUAGUGGAAGUUGCACAAAUGUGGUUAAUAGUUCCUUGGUGGAGCGUAUGAAAAUAAAAAAGAGCAACUAUCCCAAUCCUUGUAAGCUACAAUGUCUCAUACAGAGUGGAAACAUGAAGGUCCUCAAUGAACAAAAUAUUCAAUUUAUUGUGGGAAAGUAUAAUGAAGAAUUGGUUUCAGAUGUAGUUCCCAUGUUGGCAUGUCACCUACUAUUGGGGAGACCUUGGUAAUUUGAUCAAGAUGUUGUGCACCAAGGUAGUUCCAAAAAAUACACUUUCGUCAUUAAAUGAAAAGAGUAUAUGCUUGCACCUCUCACUCCAUAUCAAGUGAGUGAGGACUAUCGAGUUAUGAAGACCUUAGAAAAAGAAUGAAAACCAUGGAGGCAAAAGGUGACGACGAAAGUUCCACUAUCAUUCCAAAAGAUGAGAGUGCCUUCGCUAAAAAUAAGGAGAACAUGUGCAUUAUAGCAAAGCCAAGCAAGUGUUUAAGGGGUGUUGAUGAUGGAAGCUUUCUAGUGUGCCUUGUUAACACCAACCUUUUGGUACGUGCUAACAAAGAUACUAGCAAUUUUCCUAGUAUUAUUUCUUCUCUUUUGCAGGGAUAUAUAUGAUGAACUAUUUCCAGAUGAGAUGCCCACUUUAUUACCACCCUUUAGGGGAAUCGAGCACCAAAAUAAUUUUAUACAGGGUUCAAAAAUUACCAAUCAUCCAGAUUAUUGAAGUAACGCAGCAGAAACAAAAGAGCUAUCAAGGCAAUUGAAAGAGCUUCUUGAGAAGGGGUUGAUCAAAGAAAGCCUAUGUCCUCGUGCCAAAUCAGUAAUUUUUUUCCCAAAAAAAGAUGGCACUUGGAGAAUUUAUUGUAGAGCCAUAAAUAAGAUCACAAUGAAGUAUGUCACCCCAUUCCUUGACUAGAUGAUAUGCUUAAAUAAGAUCACAAUGGUUCUAUUGUUUUCUCCAAGAUUGACCUUCGAAGUGGGUAUCAUCAAAUUCGGAUGAAACUGGGUGAUGAGUGGAAGAGGGCUUUCAAGACAAAGUUUGGGCUGUAUUAAUGCCUUUUGAUGCCAUUUGGAUUGACAAAUGCCCCAAGCAUUUUCAUGAGAUUGAUGAACCGUGUUCACAAACCUUGAAUCAACAAGUUUGUUGUGGUACAUUUUGAUAACAUACUUGUGUAUAGUAAGACAAUGGAGGAACAUGUAUCCCAUUUGAAACAAGUGUUUUAUGUUCUACUACAAGAGCGGUUCUUUGCUAACUUCAAUAAAUGUUCAUUUGAUGUUGACAAUGUUAUGUUUUUUUUUGUGGUUAGUGCAAAUGUGAUUGAGAUCGAUGAAGAGAAGGUGGUGUCUAUCAACACUUGGCCAACCCCAAUCAGUACAACCAAGGUAAGAAGUUUUCAUCGGUUAGAAAGUUUCUUAUCGGCAAUUUGUGAAGGGUUUUAGUUAAAUUGCUGCUCCUUUGACUGAACGGAUCAAGAAAGAUGUACCUUCAUUUUUUAUGAGGUGAGGAGCAGGAGAAGUAUUUUCAAGCCUUGAAAUUGAUGUUGAAUUUUCUACACCUUUGCUCCAACUACCCAACUUUGAUAAGGCCAUUGAAAUUGAAUUUGAUGCUUCAGGUGUUGGGAUAGGUGGUGUGUUUAUGCAAGAAUGGAAACCAUUAGCUUUAUUUAUUGAAAAUCUAAAAGGAGCUACGAUCAAGUACACAACUUAUGACAAGGAAUUGUAUGCACUUGUGCAAGUGUUGUCUCAUUGGCAACACUACUUGUUGCAUAAAAACCGAUCAUGAGUCCUUGAAGCAUCUUAAGGGGCAAUCCAAGUUGAACCAGCGACAUGUUAUGUGGGUUGAAUUCAUUGAAACCUUUCCAUAUGUGAUCAACAACAAGAAAGGCAAAGCGAAUGUGGUAGUUGAUGCUCUAUAAAGAAGGUUUGUGUUGGUCAAUACCUUAGUUUCUACAAUGAUGGGGUUUAAAAGCUUAAAGUCAUUCUAUUCCAUGUAUUCCUACUUCAAAGAUAUCUUUGAUAAUCUUACAAAAGGGACGCGAGUUGAAAGGUACCAAUUGGUUAAUGGGUUUUUGUUAAAAAAUGGUCGAGCAUGUGUGCCCAUGAGCUCACGGAAAAAAAAAUUUUUCAAUGAGGCUCAUAGUGGUGGUUUGAUGGGACACUUUGGGGGUACCAAAAACACUUGAUAUUCUUAAGGAGCAGUUAUUUUUGUCAAAGAUGAAACAUGAUGUGGAGAGGAUUUGUGGACAAUGUCUAGAAUGCAAACAAGCCAAAUCCACGACCAAGCCCCAAGGUAAGUAUACUCUUUUUCCUGCUCCUAAUGGUCCAUGGAUCGAUAUUUCUAUGGACUUUGUGUUUGGACUCCCUAGGACUAAAAGAGGACAUGAUAAUAUAUUCGUGGAAGUGGAUAGAUUUUCUAAAUUUGCUCAUUUUAUUACAUGCCAUAAAUGUGAUUAUGCAUCCCAUGUAGAAUCUUUGCUUGUUAUCAAUGUUCUUAAAAUGCAUGGAGUCCCUCAAACCAUUGUUAGUUAUCGGGAUUCCAAGUUUCUAAGUCAUUUUUGGAAGAGUCUACGUGGUACACUAGGUACCAAACUUCUGUUCUCUAUUUCUUGCCAUUGACAAACGGAUGGACAAACUGAAGUAGUCAACCGAACUCUUGGAACCAUGCUUUGAUACAUGAUUAGAGGAACCCCAACUACUUGGGAAGAACGUUUACCUUGAUUGAAUUUGCAUAUAAUUGGUCUUUUCACUCCUCUGUCUUGAAUCCAGUUGAGGCAUGCUAUUGUUUUAGAACUUUGUUUCCAUUAAUUAUAAUUCCUUUAUCUAGUUAUGUUGUUGUGAUCCUAGAUGCCAAGAAAAGGGAAAAAGAGAUGAUGCACAUUCAAGCAAAGGUUACAGAGUCCAUUGAAAAAACAAUUCAAAGAUGGCCAUUCGAAAGAAUUGAGGGAGAAAGGAAGUGAUGUUCAAUAAAGAUGAUUGGGUGUGGGUGCAUUUCCAAAAGAAAAGGUUUCCACAAGUACGAAAAGGGAAGCUAAGCCCAAGAGGGGAUGGACCCUUCCAAGUAGUCACACGAAUCAAUGACAAUGCCUACUUGAUUGAUCUACCAAGUGAGUUUAAUGUUCGUAAUAUUUUCAGUAUUACUUAUUUAUGUUGUUGUGUUGUAGGUGAUCCUUUAGAUUCGAGGACGAAUCAUUUUCAGGAAGGGGAGGAUGAUAAGAUGGGAAGAAUAGAUUACACUAACAUGAUGUACCCAUCAAGACCAUUCACACGGAGUCAAGCAAAAAAUCUCCAAGUCCUACACGUAAUGUUCAUGAAAAGCGAAGCAUUAGAGGAGAUAGAAGGUCACAAAAGAAGGACAUACAACCUGAUUACAUUCCAUAAAAUUGAGAAGGAAGAAGGAAAGAGGCCCUGUGUGCAAGUGGCCCUUUAAUGAAUUCAAGAAUUCACAAAAGAAGGCAACCAAACAAGGCCCUUACCUCAUUAAGGGCAAAACAGUCAAAGAAGUGUCUUCUUUAUUUCCUUAGUAUAAAUAUUUGUCUUUUAUCAUUUUGUAAUGGUAUUACUAGUUAACUUCUUGAGUGUGAUUAAUCUAAGUGUUACCCUUUUGUGAUUCUUGGUUUCCAUUGAUUUUUCUUUCUUGGGUUAAAUUUCGGUUGUUGAAGUCAAUUAGGAGGUGAGGGUUUUAGUUCCUUGUUACCCAUAAUUGAAAUAACAUCAGAAUUAAUCCACAUAUCUUUUAUUUCUUUGUGUCUUUCCUUCUUUGAUCUUUAUCACUUAGGUAGGCUUGGAGAAGGUGUAUGGGUAUUCUAUUCAUAUCUAACUAAGAUUAGUCUUAGAGUAAUUCUAGGUAGGGAGCUUAAUUUAUGACAUGGGAAUAAUCUUAUCUAAAGUAGUCUUUAAUAUCACUUUAGUAUGUGGGAAGGGGUUGUAUGGGCGGUCGCUUCAUAACUCACUCAAGAUAGCCUUAGAAUAACCUUUGGUAGAAGGGUCUCAUUUUUAUGUGUUUUGAAGUGAUAGUGAUGCUAUAUUGUGGAAUACGACUUAUAUGUGUAUCAUUACUUGUAAGUGACUGUUAUACUUGUCAUAUGAUGUUUACCUAAAAAAAGAGCAUAUUUUGUACAAGUGUCCUUUUAGCAUUGUUUUAAUUACAUGUCACCAUACCUAGUUCAUUCUAAUGUACUAAUUCCAUAUAUUAUGUUCAUCUCUAAAGGUGUAGGUGGCAUUUGAGCGGAGUCUUUGAAGUGGAAGCUUGGAGUAUUCAUUAAAACAAAGUUGGGUUUACAUCCUCAAUUGAUUUGAGGACAUUACUAUGUAUAGUUUUCUUUCAUAAAAGUAUUGUAAUAGACUUAAGUAUUUAUAUUUUGUUGAUGUAUGGGCUCUGACCGACGAUGUUCAUGUGACUAAGAUGGAGACUUUAUGACUUAGUCUAUCAUAUGAUUUUCUGUGAGAGAUAUUUUGAAGUAUUAUUUGAUUGUGUGAAAAGUAUUAAUUUUGCACUAUUUUUAUACACAUUUAUGCUAUGAUGUCAAGAGGCUUGUAAAAGAUUUCCGAGAGGUCAAGUACGCUGUGCCACGAUUUUAAAAUACCAUUUCUUCUAGUGUAUACUCUUGGAUCGUGAUAGUCUCUUUAGUUACCCCAAGUCAUAGUUUGUGCAAUGCACUCAUAUGAUCAUAUAAUAAUAAUCUUGCUAAGUAUUACUUUUUGGUCCUUUUACUAGUAGUUCUUAGUUUGAACCCUAAGAGAUACUUCAUUAAGUAUGUCUAAGUUCGUUAUUACCAUGGACCCUAUGAGAUACUUUUUAUAGUAUCCCUAUGUAAAUCUAUAUUCAUGAACACUAUGAGAUACCACCUUGGGUAUGUUUAAGUUCAUUCACACUCUUGAACACUAUGAGUUACCUCAUUUAGUAAGUCUUUGUUAAUUAUGCUUUUGAACCUAUGAGAUUCUUCCUAAGCAUGUAUUAGUCCCUAGGAUAUGGAGAUCUCUACUAGGAUAUUUAACUCAAUUAUGUGAAGGGUCCCAUAUCAUGAGCCUAACAUUAGUAAAAACCACACUCUAUUAUGUAAGAGUUCCCCUUGAACUUGUAUAGUCCUCACAUCUACAAGGUGUGACUCUUAUGUCUUCUUUGAGUCUGGACCCUAUCUUGUGUAACACUCCUUUUUAUUGGCAUAUCCACUUGGACUCGAGCAUAUACUCCAAGAUUAACUUGUUAAGCAUUGCUUACGACUUUUCUUUCAUGUAAGGAUAUUCUUUAAAAUCCAUAAAUGCUCAAGUGGUUGUAUCACUUUCAUAAAUUAAAAUACUAAAUCUACAUCCAACACUACAACCUAAGAUCACAAGCUUGACUUCAUUCUAUCCAUAUCCAUACAUAGGUUACAAAACAUUCAAGUAGUAGUCCUCUUCUGAUGUAAUUCUCGUGAAAUUCUUCAUUACUAGGUAAAUCCAGCAAUAAUUCAUCUUUAAGGUUCAAUUCCAUCUUUAUAAGUCAAAGAUCAAUCAUAAACUUCAAGGUCUAGAUCAAGUCAUAUUAACAUGACACUAACUUUGGUCAAUUACUAAUCAAGAUUUUGAUUCAACAAGAUUUCUCAUGAAACUUCCAUUUCACCAUUAAUGUCUUAAACCCAUCAUGAUCACCUUCAACAACUUAGUGUACAAUAUUAAGGAAUUUCCAUGAAAAACAUCAUAAAAUCAUCACACAAACCCACUUAAUUGGAAUCACAAUCAAGCCCUACCCACAAUGUAGUAAUAACCCUAGCUAGAUAUGGGAUUUAUAUGGGGGGUCCAUGGGUGAAAGAAAAGUCUUCACAUACCUUAAACAAACUUGAAUCAAAGGAGGAAUUUCGACCUAAGAGGUUGCCCCUUCUCCUCUUUCUCAUCUUUCUACUUCUCAUAUUCUUCUCCUUCUCCUUAUCCUACUCCUCCUCCUUCUUCUCCUCCAUCUUGUCCUCAUUCUUUUUCUUCUUCUUCAUCAUCAUCAUCUUCUUCUUCUUCUUCUUCUUCUUCUCCUCCUUCUCCUUCUUCUACUUGUCCUUCUCAUUCUCCUUAUCCUCCUCCUUCUCCUCCUCAUUAUCAUCAUCAUCAUCAUCGUCAUCGUCGUCGUCAUCAUCAUCAUCAUCGUCGUCGUCAUCGUCAUCAUCAUCAUCAUCAUCAUUAUGAUUAUUAUUAUUAUUAUUAGUAGUAGUAGUAGUAGUAGUAGAAGUAGUAGUAGUAUUCUUAUUAUUAUUUGGGUUCUUUAUGGAGAGAGAAUUAUUUCAAAUAGAGUGGCCUGGCGUCUCAAGCGUUUAAGGAAUGUCCAUGACAAUCUUCACAAACCGUGGUCCACAACACUAGUCAUGAAGGAGGUAGUGAACUACUUGGUCAGUAGCUACAAAAGUUGUCAAUCCAUGUCCUUUUGGUGGCCACUUGGCCUUGCCUCUUAGGUAUUUAAAGCAUAUGCGCGGACAUCUUCACAAACCGUAGUCCACAACACUAGUCAUGAAGGAGGUCGUGAACCACUUGGUAAGUACCUACAAAGUUUAUCAAUCCUUUGCCUUUUGGCUUGGGGUUGCCCUUCCUUUGCACCACCAAUCACCUAAAGGUCAUCUAGGCUACUAUAAGACCCCUUAAAUGACUUAGGUGAAGAUAGAGUCUAACAUUGUUUUUAUAAUGAUCUAAGGUCCUAAAAUAGUCUAUAAUGUUGUAUUGAGUCAGUGUAUCGAGUUUUAGGUGAUUUGGAAGUGAAACGUCAAGGGAUGACCAAGACGUUCGACAAUUAAGUCACCUAUGUGCCUCAUAUGUGUUUUAUCUGUUUAUGUCUGAUUCACGAGGUAAUUAGGUCCUUAAAUGAGUUAUUAUAGUUUUUAUACACAGUGUGUCAAGUUUCGCAAAGUUUGGAGGUGAAACGUCCGCGACGUUUGAAAGGUUUGAGUUUAAAUGACCUUGUGUGUUUAUGCAUGUUUCGCCAAGUUUUACGUGUUCAUUUUUUAUUAAAUUCAUGUUAGAGGUCCUAAACUCGUAUACAAAUACAUUCGGGUUUGAAACAUCUGGGAAAACAUCCCCAAGGACCAUCCAAGGGUCCUUCCUGAAGGACCCUUUAAAGAACCAAAGGCAGUCUUAGACCAGUCCAAUCGACUGUCCCAGUCCAAUCGACUGUCCCAGUCGAUGGCCUGUAGGCUUCUCGACGCCCUGUCAAGUGAAGUUUUGUGUUGAGACUUAGCCUUGGGAGCUAAGCUCCCAUUUCCAGUCUCUGAACUCAUCAACAGAGUACAUGACAGUCCUUUGGUAGACUGAUGCCCCGUUGAUGGGUACCCGCCUGUGAAGAAUGAUUUCCUACGUAGGCACUAUUAAGUUAGGGAGAAUUGGUAAAUUAACCCCACGACCAAAUGAGAUUAAGGGGGGGGGGUUUACUUAGGGGUCUUUUGGGUAUUUAACUCUUGGAAGAUUUCAUUCUUCAAAAUCAAAACAAAAAUUCCCUUAGAAAUUCUGUAGAACUCAAUUGGAACCAAAACUCAAAGAAGGGCUUGGAUUUGAGAAUUGAGUAGAGAUUCUUCACCAAAUUGUAGGAUUAGAUUUAUUGAGGUAUGGCUUUUGAUCCUUGAAACUCUAUUGAUCAAGGAGCCCAAAUUUCAAUGAUGAUCUCUAAAGUUUCAAAAAUGAAUUGUCCAAUUUAUUGAUCUGUUCAUGGGUUCUUGCAUUAAAGGUUAUAAAGCAUUGUAUAUUGAUUGAACUAUUGUUAAUUGGAUGAUUUUAACUUAGUUAACCUAAAAACCCAUAAAAUUGAUGAACCUAGCUUUUUACUACUUUAUGGGUUAAGUGAUUUGGACUUGAUGCUUAUGAAUUCUAGUGUAGUUUUCUAUAGGUUAUUGACUGAUGUAAUAAUUGUUUUGCAUGUAUAUCUAGGUUGUCUUAUAUUGAUGAAUCUAUAUUGAGUUGACAUAGUUUCAUUGAGUACCAUAGUCUUUAUAUCGAAUUGAUGUUCAUGGCCAUGGGUAAGGGCCUUAUGGUAUUUAAUUAAAUGAUUUAGACAUGGAUUGGAGUGGAGAGAAUGGAUUGGUGGUACACUGCCAUAAUUCUUUUUAUUUUAUGUUAAUUAAAGUUCAAUUAUGUUGAGUUUGGUGUUUUCCACUUAUGGUGGCGGUGUUAUGUGCUUUAUAUGGAAUUGAUGUGGCCUUGUUGGGGUUACUUUAUGCAUUUUGAUGAUAAUUACCUUGUUGGCACUACUUUAAGUAUUAUGAUGAUUUGUGUAGUUUAUUUAUGUGAAAGUAUGUCUUUCUUCUAUGUAUGUAUAUUAGGAGAUCAUGUUAGACUAUGAGUAUGGGCUUAUAUAUGGAGUGUUAGAUGUUCAUGCAUGAUCGUUCCUAAAGUCACAUGAGUUGUGAUUAUUAUAUUGAUGAUGAUAAGGGUCAUUCCUAAGUUGUUCAAAGAAUGAUAUGCUAUAUGUGAUAAAGUAAAGAAUGUUGUGUUUUAUUUUGGUAGACUUGUAUCCCUUACUUAAUACAUGCAUGAAUGAUAUGUUAAUAAGAGAUAUCUCGACUAGGUAGGCUUAGUAAACCUUUGUCAUGUAUGAAUGAAUGAUAUGUGAUACCUUAGAUGAUGUUAAGAAAGUAACGUAUAUGGAACCUUAAACCUAGUGGUAAGGUUAUGAAUGUUGAAUUCGAGAGAUGUAAUGGUAUCUUUCAUGUAAAGGAAUGGUGGGCUUAGGGUUUAUUGGUAUGAAAAGCGUCAUAUAAUCCUUUGGAAAGUCAUAAUGAUCUAUCUUAGCCGCCAUUUAAAAAUAGCCCUAUUUGACCACAUUUGUCGGGUUAAUGUGAUUGAGUUUUGAACUAUAUAAGGAACCUCUUCAUAUGAGCCUUUAUUGUCAAUUGCUCUAGGAGAACAAAGGUUAGCACUGAGUGAUUAUGUUAUGGGAAGUAGCUCUACUUAAUGAGAUUAGAGUACAUAAAUGUACGUCAUAUUCCUUAACCAUGUGCCUAUAGGGGAUGUGCCCUAGUUGUACCCUUGGCAAGUAGAAAACCCUCAUCGAAGUAGGUUAGAAAUCCGGAUUCCAUGUCUAGCUAUAAUGGUCUAUGUUGGUUAUUGCCUAUUCUUAUCAUAUGGAAUACCUACUAGCAUUAGAGAAGUUCUAUACAGUUUAGGUGGUGGUAUGGGAUGCUAUCUAGACAUUGCACAAUAGUCUUUGAAGGUGUUAGUUAGAGUCUCUAGGUCUUUUCCAAGAUUAUUGCUUGAAUGUCCAUAUGUGAUGAAUAAAUCUUAUAUCAACUAAUUGAUGUAAUGACUUAAAGUUAAAAAAUUAUGUAAAUGCAUAAGUACUUAUCUAUAUUAGUUAAGGGUUGUGAAGGGGGCAUAGAAAUGGUCACUUCAUAUUUUACCUAGAUAAGUAUUAAGAAUGACUAUAUUUAGGGAAGCUAAUUGAUUAUGUGGACAUGAUCUAAGCCUUACGUAAUCUUAAGGAUUAUUUAGGUAAUGUUGAAGAGGUCAACCAAGGACAAUAUCUUCUUGAUUUACUUAAGUAAGUCUUUUGAUAGACUUUGGAAGGAGAAUGUCAUAUUAAAUAUAUGUUGAUGUAUUAGGUUAGAAGGAUUCUAUCUUAGAUAGUCUGUUAGAUCUGUGUAAGGGAUUGUAUGGGCUAUCGUUCACAACUCACUCAAGUGACACUUAGAAUCACCUUAGGUAGAAGGAUCUCAUGUUCAUGUGUUUGGUGUCUUGUAAGUAUGUGUUGAUCUCAUUAAUGAUGGUCUUAAGGAUCAUUUGGGUGUGCGUAAAGAGUAUGUAUAGGUGAUAUCUCUUUGUCGUACUUAAUUGAGUCUUACAAUAACUUUUAGUGAGAAGGUUACAUGGUAGAGAGUGUUCUAUAUGAAGUUUAUAGGAUUCACUGUAACUUUAAGAAAUAGUCACUGCAAAGUGAAAUAUUUAUUGUAAAGAUUUCUAUAAAUGGAAUAAAUUUUUUGAAUGUUAUCUUAUGUGUUUCUAAGGUUUUAAAUAUUGUCCUUAUGAUUAUGUUAUGAUAUUUAAGUCAAAAAGAUGCAUAUAUGGAAUAAAUGUAUGUUUUCAUAAUUUUAUGCAUUAUGCCAUACUUAGUACACAUGUUUGUACUAAUUCAACGCUUUUAUCUAUCUCUGUAGCAGUUGUUAGGUGAGGAUCACUGGCGAAGCAAGACUUGGAUCGUAAAAUCAUUCAAAGUGAGUUGAAGUAUGUCCUCGUGUGACUCGAGGGCAUAGAUGUCUUUUAUUUCUUUAUUAAUGUAUUGUAAAAGACUAAAUAUUUCUAAAUUCGAAUUGUAUGUGUCGUGUCCCAAAUUAUUCUAGUGUGUAAGAUUUGAUUAAAUGAGACUUAGUAUUUCUUUUGAGUUUUAUAUGAACGAUUUUUUAAAGACUUAUAUGAAAAGUUUUAAUUCCGCACUACUUUUCAUAUAUUUUAUAUGUGAUGAACGAUACCGAAGGGCUUGUACAAGAACUCUGAGAGGUCAUGUACGCCGUUUGCACUCCUAGAGUGCCAAAUCUUCUAAGGUGUGGUCUCGGGAUAUGGAAGCUACUUGGUCUAAUUCACACCUUGAUGCCCUACCAUUUAAAUCCUCAUUCACAACACAUAAAGUCGCAACUUUUCUCGCCUAUUGGCCCAUUUUUCGAUCACUUUUGGGCCUAUUUAUGUAAUAAUAACUAACUCUAUAAAUAGGUUUCUUAGGAUUCAAUUUAAUCAAGUGGGCCCCACCACUCAAGGCACAAAUGAAAAAAGGGAUCAGAUUGUGAGCUGGCCUUAGUGGACAGGUGUAGAGGGGGGCUGCCUCCACUUCAUACUAUUAAAUGAGGUGGAGAAAUCCACUCCAUGCUAAAUAAAGUGGUGAAAUGCAUUGCUGCAUAUCAUCUUCUUCUUCACCACUUGUCUUAGGCAGCCAUGGAAAUGGAGAAACCAACCCUGCAACUCUUGGCCAGCAGCUGCAAAUAAUUUGGUUAGUAAUCUCCUUGUUUGGUGUGUUAAUUCUUUAGAAUACCUUUGUUAAUUAUCCAUUAAUUUUAAGAAGGGGGCGUGACCAGUAGCUUAGGAAGUUUGUUUUAGUUAUUGAAUGUACUAAGUAUGAACGGAAACUAUAAUCGGAUUAUUAGUGGUGUCGAGUUGGUGCUUGGGCUGUUUUGAUUAAAGCAAACUGCGGGAAAAUUCUGUUUUGGCAUUAUGUAUACGUUAAAUGUUAUUAUGAGUAUAUAAUCCAAAGGAUGAAUACGAUAGGGUAGAUGUGUUGCGAAUUAUAAGACGAGUUAUCGCUCGGUGUGUCAUUGCUUCGCUGCUAUGGUUGCCAAGACGGAACUGUUUUGUGUAGGGGGCUAUUUAAUAUGAUUCGUUGGGUUAUAUGUGUUAUUGGUAUUGCUGUGGAUAAUUUGGGUUGUUGUCGGAUUGGGACGACGUUAGGAAAAUAGGGGAAGUGCUGCCGAAUUUUUGUUAGAUUAUUAGCUAGCUUACAAGAAAGUAAAGUGCGAUGUUUAUCUAAUUGCGGAACGAUUGUUGCUUGUUAUAGAUUUAUAGCUUGAGCAGUAAAUAUUGGACAUGCGUCUCGAUUAUACGGUAUGUAACGUUGUUCCUCAUUUCUUUGUUUGGCAUGACUUUUAAAAAUAAGCGAAUAACGGACAGGUUUGAUACUUACCUCUAGAGCGUCUAGGUGACGUAUAUUCUUGCUUCCACAAUUAUUCCUCUAUAUAUCGGCUAUGUCUAAGGCUAUGAUGAUCUCUCAUAACUAUGGUAGUGCUUCUUAGAGUCUUUGAGAUUUUAUGUUUCCAUAUCGUAUUAAAGGUUCAUAAUCUUGAUAAAACAUUAAUCUUUGGUAAUAAAUACUCCUUGCUGGUUCACGUUGUUUGUUCUAUUGAGUUAUAAGAAAUUAUUUUAAUUGCAUAUGGUUGCUCGUAAUAUUCUGCUCGUGCAUGGAGUCAUUUAUCAUUUCACCGAGUCCCGGGCUGGGUAAUGUUCGUGCAGAGUUUUUUGCAUAUGUCACCGAGUUCCUCACUAGAGGGCCGGGUAUGUAUAUUAUAUAUAUGAUUGGUGAUGAGGAUGGUUAUGAUGAUGAUGAUGACGGAGAUGACGUGAUGAUUAUUUUGCCGAGCCCCUUACUACGGAAGCUGGGCACCUUAUAUGUUAAAUAUAUGCAUGAUUUCACUUAAAAGGGUACAUGUGUAGCGAUAUUUUGUUUCGACUUGCCAUACUGGUAUCCUGUCAUCUUUACCUUAUGCUUUACAUACUCAGUACAUUGUCUGUACUGACCCCCCUUUCCUCGGGGGGCUGCGUUUCAUGCCAGCAGGUGUAGACGCGCAGUUCGGUGAUCCUCCCGCCUACGAUAUCUACUCUGCUAAUUGGGAGAGCUCCACUGUUCCGGAGCCCAGUCGUUUUGGUACAUAACUUUUGUGUUGUCUUUUGCUCGUCUAUGGGUAUGGCGGGGCCCUGUCCCGUCGAGUUUCACUAAUGUACUCUUAGAGGUCUGUGGACAUUAUGUGGGUUGUAAAUAUAUGUUUUGGGUAAUUGUCUGGACAUGGUUUGUUUGGGAUGUCCGCUUGUACAGGGGCAGCCUUGUCGGCUGCGUACAUCAUUAUGUAUUGUGUAGUGGCAGCCUUGUUGACUUACGUAUGUUAUUAUGCUUUGAAUAGUGGCGGCCUUGUCCGCUCGCAUAUGUUGUUACGGUUGAAUGGUUAUGACUCCUUAUGAGACAGGUCCUCUUUAUAUAUAUAUAUGACGUUAGGGUUGGCUUGAUUUGAUUAAAUUCCAUAUUGUCUUAGUUUCAGAUGGUUAAACUUAGCAGGUUUGUAUGUGGGUGUCCAAAACGGGCACUAAUCACUGCCCAUCGGGUUGGGUCGUGACAAAGAGUUAUCAGUUUCUUGGAAUAUCAAUUCCCUUGAGGUCUUUGUAAGAGGUAGAUGCUAUUGCAGGGAUUAAUGGAUUGAGGUCAUUCGAUUUAAUAAACCCUUUGAUUGCUAUUUGUUUUCUCUUUGUGUGUCUAUCUAUUUAUCUUGAUCAGGUGUUUGGUAGGAUCUGGAUUGGAGGCGAUUGGAUUGAAUAUGUCCUUUAGUUGCCAAUUGUUUCUUGUAUGUGUCUCUUCUUCUGUCUUUUCUUUUGUUUCCUCAUCGAUUGUCAUUUCCCUUAUAAGAAUCACAUCACAAACUAAGAUCCUCCACAAUAUCAACUUCAAGUGCCUCUUCAAGCUCCUAAUGAAGCUCCAAUUGGUAUGCUACUCUUGGUGAGCUUAAGGAUUCUAUGCAACUAUUGGAUCAAGGCUGGACGAGCAAGCUAUUAGAAAAUGACCCAUUGGAGUUCUAUGGCUCCAAGGUUUACGAAGAUCCAAAAUGGUUCAUAAUAAGUGUAACAUCUCACAAGUACACCCUAGAAUUUAAAGUAUCCUUGUGUCAACAUACGGAAAAUGAGGCUUCAAGAAGUCCCAUCUAAGCCACACGUAUCGUUCGUUGCAUAAUAAAUAUUCUAUAUUUAGUAAAAAUUUAAAACAUUCUUCACACACGAAGAACUCUUUCAUAAAUCAAAACACAAGCGGAAGACUUUAAUUUAAAACAUUCAACCUUUACAACAAUCUCGUUGAACCAUCUAAACUUUGGAGUUUACAACAAAUUGGACUAAGCUCAUACAAGACAUAAAAUAAAGACUAAUUAAGACAUAAGGAACUUGUGGAUAUUGUCCUCGAAUCAAUUAGGACUCACCAAUACAUCAUCUUCAACCCUUAUAAGCCUAUCAAUCCUCCAUGGAACAUCAAAACUUCCAAUUCCCUACAUUUUAGUCACAAAGGGAAAAGAUGGGGUUAGCACAUUAGAUGCACCAAGUAUGGACGCCAUGCUAAAACCAUGAAAAAGGGACAUUUAAUAAUUUGCAUACUUUUCAUGAAUUUUAAUAUAAACACAAUAUUAUAAUAAUAAGAACAACAUUUAACAACUUAUAAACACAUAAGAAAUCAUUUAAGAAAUAAGCAAUAUUUUUAAAAAAUAUUACAGUGAGCUUACUUCAAUGUUACAGCUAAGUCUUUCAUUGUACAGUAAUGUUCCCUUAGCUUCAGUUUGCAAACCUUUUAGAAUCUAACUCCCUCACUUAAACCUAUCCUAAGACUCACUUAAAUAUGUCAAAAUAAUACCGCCCACACACCCUCUGUAGGAACACCUAAAUGAUCCUUAAGACCACUCAUCAUGAGAUACGCAUACUUAGAAAUACAUCAAUCACAUGAACAUGAGAUAUUCCUACCAAAGGUGACUCUAGCUUCACUUGAGUGACUUGUUAAGCGACUGCCCAUACAAUCCCUUACACAAAUAAUUAAGAGAUCUUAUAGACUACCUAAGAUAGAAUAAUUAUUACUUAACAUAUUAGAAUACAUAGAAUAGGAAACUCUCCCCUACAAAGCUUAUCAAAACACUUAAUCAAGUAAAUAAAAAAUAUAAUGUCCAUGAUUGACCUCUUCAAGAUUACCUAUGUAAUUCUUAAUAAUACCUAAGUUUGAUUCAUGUCUACAUAAUCAAUAAUCUUCCCUUGCUAGAGUCAUUCUUAAGACUUAUGUAGGUAAGAUGAGAGGUAACCAUUCCUAUGCCCAUCACACCUUAACUAGACAAAUCCUAACUACUAUAGAUAAGUACUUCUUUACUUCACAUGCUUUCUUAACUUAAGUCAUUACAUUCCUUAUUUCAUAUUAAGAGACAUUCAUCACAUAAAGGAAUUUAAGUAAUAAUUUUAGAGAAGACCUAAGGACUCUAACUAACAUCUUCAAAACCUAUUGUGCAUUGUCUAGAUAGCAUCAUUACCACCACAUAGACUUCAUAAAACUUAUCUGAUGCUAGUUGGUAUCCUAGAUGUUGAGAAUAGUCAAUAACCGACAUGGACCAUGGUAGCAAGACAUGGAAUCCAGAGUUCUAACCUACUCCUAUGAAGAAAAAAAACCUACUCCUAUGGGGGUGUUUUACUUUCAAAUGGUACAACUUUGACACAUCCCAUAUAGGCACAUGGUUAAGGAAUAUUAAAGGCGUGCUUUGUAUUCUAGUCUCAUCCUUAACUAGAACUACUACAUUUACCAUACUUACUCGGUGGUAGCCUUCGUUCUUAGAGAGUAAUUCAUAUUAAGGUUCAUAUAAAGGGAUUUCAUAUAAAGUUCAUAACCCAAUCACAUUUACCCUACCUAAGAGGUCCUCUAAAGUUACCUUGCAAUGGCGACAAGACGCUCAUGAUGACUUUCCUAAGUUCAUUUACUUCAAGGAUACCAUUACGACUUUCGACUUCAACAUUCAUAACUUACCACUAGGUUCAAGGUUUCACAUAAAUGACCUUAUUAACAUUUUUCAAGGUCUAACAUCAUUCAUACAUACAAGACUAAGAGGAUUUAACAUCGUAAGUCAAGACAUCACAUAUUCACAUUCAUACAUGGAUCAAGUAAGGGACACAAGUCAACCAAGACAAGACACCAGAUAGUUCACCUUAACACAGAUUGCAUGUCAUUCUAUAAGCACAUAUGAAUAACCAUUAUCAUCUUUAUGUCAUCCCAUAGACUACCAUAUCAUCAUCAAUAUAACCAUUAUAGACACAUAUAUUCAAGUAGGAACAACCAUGUACAAACUCUAAGAGUACACACAUAAAUACAUAGCCAUAGCCUUCAUGAUCUUUUAACAUACAUAGAAAGAACACAUACUUUCACAUCACUUCACAUAUAUGUAGAUAUGAUCAUACAUCAAAAAAUCAACUACACUAAUCCACAUAACACGUCAACUAGUGACGACAUGGUCAUGAUCAUCAUAAUGCAUAAAGUAACAUUAACAAGGCCACGUCAAUUCACAUAACACCACCACCAUAAGUGGACCAUACCAAUCAACCUUAUAGUGCAAAAACUAAACAUAUAUUUAAGAGAUUUAUGGAAGCCUAUCACCAAUUCAAUAUCAUCACUUUAAUCCCUAGCUAAAUCAUCCAAUUCGAUACCAUAAGGCCCUUAGCAUGACCAUCAACAUCAAUUAAAUACAUAACCAAACAUACUCAAUGGAUCUAGGUCAAUUCAAUAUAUAAUUAUCAAUCUAAUACCAGUUAGACAUAAAUUGAAUAUAAUCCUUACAUCAUCAAAUAGCCCAUAGAAAACUACCCUAGAAAUCAUAAGCAUUCAGUCAAUGUAAAUUCAAUAAGCCUAAUAUUCAAUAAAUCAAAGAAUAUACAAUACUCAAUUGAUCAAAUUGAAACAGACUAUAAAUCAAACAAUCAUAAUCUAUACAUGAAACAAAAGACCAUAACAUUUUACAUAUGAAUUCAUUGAUAUUAAAGAAUGAUCACAUAAUCCAUAUUUUAAGCAAAUUGAGAGAUUUUAUAAUAUCAACUAAUCAUGGACAAUUUCAUUAGAAAACAUCAAUAACAUCAUAUAUUAACAUUUGAAAACCUUUAAUUCAAGAACCCAAGACUUAGAGUAGAAAUUUGAUUUUCAUCUUUUUGAAAAUCUUUGAAAACCAUAUUUGAGAUUGUCUCUGAGGUGAUAGAAAGCCAUAAAUAAACAACUACCAUACCUUAUUAUAAGAACUUCAUGAAAAUUGAAGAAGAAACUCCAUUAAUGAACCAUCUUCAAGCUCCAUUUUCACAUUAAACUCUCAUGGAUGUUUUUGGAGAAACUUUUGGAGGGAAUGUGCUUGAAUAUAGGUAUUAGGUUUUAAAUGAGAGAAUAAUGACUUAUAUACUCUUAAAAUACCCAUAAACACUCAAAACAACCAUCCUAGCAUUUUAUAAGACUUGGGGUGCAUUUUCAAAAACCACAAGUCAAAACAGAAAAUUGCACCCAGUUUCAUAGCACAAUGGAAGCCCCACAAUCGACGGUCCAUGGGUGAUACCACAGCCCGUUGAUGAGGUCUCGUGAUUUUCUCCUGCAGCUCCUCAGCCUUCAGACUUGCAGGAUCCAUCGACGCCACACAUCGAUGAGUCAUCGCCUUCUCGCCUUGCCAUUGUUUGGGUCAUCAUUUGGUCGUGCCUGGAAGUGUUGAGCUAUAAGUCGGGGUCCUCCUUUAGGGCCUCUUGUGGGACCUACAUUGAGUCGUACCAGGAUGUAUCCAACCCAAAUAUAAUCGUAUAUGAGCUUAGGACCUCUCACAUGAAUGUAAUCCAAAAUGAACAUGUAAAACUCGACGAAAUAUACAUAACACGCCAGGUCAUUUCAAGGCAAACUUUUCGAACGUCAUGGACGUUCUUGGAUGUUUGACCUCCAAACUUCUCUAAACUUGAGACAAUGUAUAAACCAUAAUAACUCACUUAAGUAACUUAUAAAAUCAUGAAUCACAUAUAAAUAUAUAAAACCACAUAUGAGGAACAUAGGUGACUUAGCCGUCGAACGUCUUAGUCGUCCCUUGACGUUUGACUUUCAAUGCCCCUAAACUCUUGUGCACUGCCUCUAUACCACAUUCUAGACAAUUUUAGGAUCUUAUACCAUCCCGACAACCAUGUAAGGCUCUAGGUUAACCUAUGUCUUUUUCAGGGUCUUACAAUAAGGUGCUUGCAAUCAUAAGAGUAUCUUCCAUUUAGAAGGCUAAGCUACCUGCCUAUCAAUUUUAAAAUGUUUCCCAAUUUGGAAUGAGAAAUUGAAAGAUAGUAGGAUUAUAUGAGCGGGCCCAAUAGAGUAUGCAACUUUUAAGUCAGGACUUCUAGAUAGGUUUUUCCACCGAGUGUUGAUGGAAGUAAAAUUGGGAGAACUCAUCAACCUCAAGCAAGGCAGUAUGAGUGUUAAGGAUUACUCUUUGAAAUUCACCCUUUUGUCUAAGUAUUCUCCAAGCUUAUAGCUAGCCCUAGAGACUUUAUGUAUAAGUUUAUGACGGGAGUGUACGAUUAGAUAUAAAAAGAAAGUAUCGAAAUAUUUGUUGAGGAGAUGGAUAUCUCACGUGUUAUGGUGUUCGCCCAACAGAGAGGAAUCAAAACUGAAGAAAGAGAGGGACACACAAAAGAUGAGGUCUAGGUUUGAAGGUGAUAGGUCCUUUCAUGUUAUGUACUAAUGGGCAAUAUAGGCCUAGAAAUAAACCAAGAUAUUCCACCCAGGAUUGUUCCAACACCUCUAAGUUUGAUAAAUAGAAGGAUAGUGGGUCUCCAUUUUCCAAAUCUACAUGCUCCAAGUGUGGGAGAAGUCUUUAUAAUAAGUGCCUAGCUGGAACGGGUGGUUGGUAUUGUGUGGGAAGGAUGGGCACGAGAUGAGAGAUUACCCGAUUCUUAAAGCUAAGGGAAGAGAGGAUAAUAAAGUUGCUCCUAGUGACGAAAAAUUGGGUUCUCAAAAGAAGAAUAGGUUCUACACUCUCAAAUCUGGAGAAGAUCAACAGUGAUCUUCGCAUGUCCCUUUUUUAUAUGUAUUUCUUGUUUUACUCAACUUCUAGAUUUCUUGUAUUGUUAUGACAUGCUAUGAUGGGCUUUAUGUUUUCUUUAAAAAGGUAUGAUGACUCAUUGUUUCCUUAUGUUUUGAGUUUUGUUUUGAAGGACUUUUUAAGCUUACUCCCAAUAUUUUUGAGAAAUUAUACGUUGCCAUGAUUUCUUAUUGGGUAUAUUCAUGAAAAUUAUUAGGUUGUGUUAGAAAUGACAUACAUGCAUUGCUUUGUCUCUUUUUGUAACAUUUUUUAAUCGAGUUGCAUAUGAGCUCCAUGAGAGUAUGUGAGCAUGGUUAGUUGGAAAAGGUGGUUCCUUCUAUAAAUGAGAUGAGUUAUGAGAAUGUAAUGCAUAAAGGGAAUGUUAGAGCUAGUGUCUAAUUCGUUUAAUUAGUUGCAUUGAGCAUGUUUAGAGGAGAUUGAAGUUUUUCCUACUUUGUUGUGUGCAUUUUGAUAUAGUUCCUACAUAGUGGGCUGCUAGUGUAGAGUUGUUCUCUAUUGGAAGUGUCAUUUGACGACGAAUGUUCUCAAGGGGAGAUAUUAUAAAAUCCCAAAAUAUUAUAGACUAAACUAGAUCCAAGAUAUAGGGUCCUUGAAUGUGAUGUCAAAUAUUUGAAUCGUAGUUGCGACUUUAGGUGUUGUGAAGGAGGAUUAAAAUGGUAGGGCAUUAAGGUGUGCAUUGGACCUAGUAGCUUCCAUAUCCUGAGACCACAACUUAGAAGAUAUGUCACUGUAGGAGUGCAAACGGCGUUCUUGACCUCUCGGUGGUCUUGUAAAAGCCCUUUCGUAUUGUCAUCACAUAUAAAACAUAUGAAUAGUAGUACAGAAUUAAAAUUUUUCAUAUAAGUCUUUGAAAAAUCUUUCAUAUAAAACUCAUAGGAAAUACUAAGUCUUAUUUAAUCAAAUCUUAUACACAAGAAUGGAACCACAACACAUCCUCUACUUUCAUGGUUGUUAAGACAAAAAAAAAGCAGAACAAGGACAAUGGUAAUUCUUCUCAAUAACAAGGUAGUAUCACCUAAAAGAUGAUACUUCCACCAGUUCAACUACCCUCAAACAUACACCAGGAUCAAAAUGGUAGAAGGUCCACAGAACUGGAUCAAGUGUUCCUCCAUUAUUUAAGUGGGCACUCGUUCCUCUCAACAAAAUACUCCACUCAACAACAUGAGCAUCAUAUGUAAACAUGUAAUAGAGAGAGAAAGGUGUCUUUAAAUUCUAAAUCUAUAUGGUGUUUUUAUGGGUAUUACUACUAAUAAUUCAAACUCAUGAGUCAUAACCAUUGCAAUUUGAACACACCAAGAAGAACAGGUAAUGGAGAAACAAACAGCACCUUCUUCCUUAUAACAUUCCUUCCCUACAAGAGUAAUCUCAUCAUCCAAGAAGCGAUUUCCAUCUCUGGGAGGGAAAACGUCACAACAUAGUUGGUUACUAUAUCAAGUAAAGCUAUUAAGAACUAUACUUCUUUCAGGAUUCACACCAUUAGGUAUAUCACUAGGAAUGAUUUCAUCUUUUUUAAAUAAGAUAUUGUAUUUAAAGAGGGAAUUACCAACCACCAGGGAAGAAUUAAAACAUUCAGGUUUACCCUCAAAAUGACACAUAUCAAAUUUGAAGCAUUUUCAAGCACAUGAUAUCGAUGAGCAAAGCAAGCAAUUAGAGAUCUUUCACAAUAGAUAUGAUCAUAGAGUCAGUCGUAAUGAAUUGAUCAACAUUAUCAUUAGAGUACCACUAAGUUGAGGUUUCUUAACAACAUCACAAGGACCCUUAACCAGUGAACUACACUCAGAAACAUGUUGAUCAACACAAUCAUUACAAAAUAAUGAGCUAGAAUUAAAAGUGUAGGUGUCAACACUAGGUGGGAUACAAAUUUAUCUUACUAGAAGAAUCAAUUAGCUCCUCAAUUGGAUCAACUAUUGUAUCCACACUCUCAACAACCACAUUAUCAAUAAAGGCAAAGAAUCAAUAGGCUCACAUAAAGACUAGUUAACAUUCACACCUUGUUCAUUUGAAAUGGUAAAGUAUUAUGAUUAACUAUUGUACCUUGAUGUCCACAAGAAAGAUCUUCUUUUCCAUGGAUGUUGGAACAUUCCAUUAGUGCAUCCAUCACGCCUUCGAUUGUAGGUUCUUUGGCUCUAAAUUGUGAUCCUCCAUUCAUCGUGCUUGUACCUACAUAAGAAUGCUUACCAAGUGAAGAAGACACAACACAAUUAGAUUGAUAUUGUGGCAAUCCUCUCACUUUACUCCUCUUAACCUCUCUUUUUUUCACUCUAAGGUUGCCACCUUGCUAUCACUUACAAGAACACACUUGUACCCAUUCUGCUCGUUCUAGACCCCACGUUCAGUAAACCAAUUGUCCCAAAAGUUUAAGUGACAAGAAGACAUAGACAUUAUAUCAAACCAGACCUCUUCAAAAUAUUUGCUAAGUGUGAAAGGGACUCUUACCCCUUCUUUAACCUUACAUCCCUCCAUGGUGUGUGGAUAAGUCCUUUGUUGUCGAGGUAGUUACCACCUUUGUAGUGAUGUAGUUUAUAUUGUACCCACCAUCAAUGACAAGGCCACAUCCCAAAGUCCCACAAAUUCCAACAUUUGUCCUAAGAACUGAUUUUGUCUGAUCGACAUUUAAAACAUUGGUCAUAUUAAAACAGCCAUAAAUCCCAGCUUAGGAGCAGUUAGGGUGAGUUCUUUCCAACGGCGCCAAGUUUGUGCAUUUUUGAUUUUGUAUAAGGGUGAUAUGCCUUUCAGAAGUUCUGUUGUUGGACUUAGAAACGUCCAAUCCGGAAAUUUGUAGUGGUAAAGUAGUGUUUUAACUGUAGUAUUGUCUUAUUCAUUUUAGGGGUUUUUUAGCGGCUAAACCAAGUCCAGAUUUAGUUUUUAGAAAGUCUUAGAACGCGUAGUGCUUGGGGGAAAGAGAUAAAGUAGAGGAAGUUCAACAAUGCUUCAACAACACUAAGGUUCGCCAGUGAAAUUCGUCGGGGGUGAUCCCUAUUGAGGUAUAUGAGAUCUUUUUGUCUUGGAUUCACACACGCGCCACUAUGUUUAAUUCAGCAAGUUUUAUAUUGAUUGAAUGGUGAAUCUUGAAGUUUUUAAUGAACAAUCGUUGAAAUUUUGUUGGUAGAAUUUUUUUAUACCUUAAGUUGAUUUGAUUAAUGUUUUUUGUCUCUUUUACGAGUAUAAACUAUUGGCUAUUGGGGAUAUUAAUGAUCCUAAGUGUUUGGGGAAUGAUCUAUGGAAGUUUUGGGGGUUUAGAAUUGAAAAUUGGAGAAGAAAAGUCAAAAAAACCCGUCUACCGGGCCUGGAGCGCCGCGCCUACCAGAGCCCCUCAAGACAGACUUUGUGUCACGACCCAACCCGAUGGGCCGUGACUAGUGCCCGUUUUGGACACCCACAUACAAACGUGCUAAGUAUAACCAACUGAAACCAAGACAAUAUGAAAUUUAAUCAAAUCAAGCCAACCCCAACGUCAUAUAUAUAUGAGAGGACCUGUCUCAUAAGGAGUCAUAACCAUUCAACCAUAACAGCAUACGCGAGCCGACAAGGCCGCCACUAUUCAAAGCAUAAUAACAUACGUAUGCCGACAAGGCUGCCACUACACAAUACACGAUGAUGUACGCAGCCGACAAGGCUGCCCCUGUACAAGCGGACAUCCCAAACAAACCAUGUCCAGACCAUUAUCCACAACAUAUAUAUACAACCCACAUAAUUCCACAGACCUCUAAGAGUACAUUAGUGAUACUCGACGGGACAGGGCCUCGCCAUACCCAUAGACGAGCAAAAGACUAUACAAAAGUUAUGUACCAAAACGACUGGACUCCGGAACAGUGGAGCUCUCCCAAUCAGCAGAGUAGAUAUCCUAGGCGGAAGGAUCACCGAGCUGUGCGUCUACACCUGCGGGCAUGAAACGCAGCCCCCCGAGGAAAGGGGGGUCAGUACGGACAAUGUACUGAGUAUGUAAAGCAUAAGGUAAAGAUGACAGGAUACCAAUAUGGCAAGUCGAAACAAAAUAUCGCUACACAUAUACCCUUUUAAGUGAAAAUCAUGCAUAUAUUUAACAUUUAAGGUGCCCAGCUUCCCUAGUAAGGGGCUCGGCAAAAUAAUCAUCACGUCAUCUCCGUCCCGGUGUCACGACCCAACCCGAUGGGCAGUGACUAGUGCCCGUUUUGGACACCCACAUACAAACUUGCUAAGUAUAACCAACUGAAACUAAGACAAUAGGGAAUUUAAUCAAAUCAAGCCAACCCCAACGUCAUAUAUAUAUAAGAGGACCUGUCUCAUAAGGAGUCAUAACCAUUCAACCAUAACAACAUGCGCGAGCCGACAAGGCCGCCACUAUUCAAAGCAUAAUAACAUACGUAAGCCGACAAGGCUGCCACUACGCAAUACACAAUGAUGUACGCAGCCGACAAGGCUGCCCCUGUACAAGCGGACAUCCCAAACAAACCAUGUCCAGACCAUUACCCAAAACAUAUAUAUACAACCCACAUAAUGUCCACAGACCUCUAAGAGUACAAUAAUGAAACUCGACGGGACAGGGCCCCGCCAUACCCAUAGACGAGCAAAAGACUACACAAAAAGUUAUGUACCAAAACGACUGGGCUCCGGAACAGUGGAGCUCUCCCAAUCAGCAGAGUAGAUAUCCUAGGCGGGAGGAUCACCGAGCUGUGCGUCUACACCUGCGGGCAUGAAACGCAGCCCCCCGAGGAAAGGGGGGUCAGUACGGACAAUGUACUGAGUAUGUAAAGCAUAAGGUAAAGAUGACAGGAUACCAAUAUGGCAAGUCGAAACAAAAUAUCGCUACACAUAUACCUUUUAAGUGAAAAUCAUGCUUAUAUUUAACAUUUAAGGUGCCCAGCUUCCCUAGUAAGGGGCUCGGCAAAAUAAUCAUCACGUCAUCUCCGUCAUCAUCAUCAUCAAAACCAUCCUCAUCAUCAAUCAUAUAUAUAAUAUACAUACCCGGCCCUCUAGUGAGGAACUCAGUGACAUAUGCAAGAAACUUCGCACGAACAUUGCCCGGCCCGGGACUUGGUGAAAUGAUAAAUGACUCUAUGCACGAGCAGAAUAUUAUGAGCAACCAUAUGCAAUUAAAAUCAUUUCUUAUAACUCAAUAGAACAAUCAACGUGAACCAGCAAGGAGUAUUACCAAAGAUUAAUGUUUCAUCAAGAUUAUGAACCUUUAAUACGAUAUGGAAACGUAAAAUCUCAAUGACUCUAAGAAGCACUACCAUAGAUAUGAGAGAUCAUCAUAGCCUUAGACAUAGCCGAUAUAUAGAGGAAUAAUUGUGGAAGCAAGAAUAUACGUCACCUAGACGCUCUAGAGGUAAGUAUCAAACCUGUCCGUUAUUCGCUUAUUUUUAAAAGUCAUGCCAAACAAAGAAAGAAGGGACAGCAUUACAUACCGUAUAAUCGAGCCGCACGUCCAAUAUUUACUGCUCAAGCUAUUAAUCUAUAACAAGCAACAGUCGUGCCGCAAUUAGAUAAACAUCGUGCUUUACUUUCUUGUAAGCUAGCUAAUAAUCUAAUGAAAAUUCGGCAGCAUUUCCCCUAUUUUCCUUACUUCGUCACAAUCCGACAACAGUCCAAAUUAUCCACAGCAAUACCAAUAACACAUAUAACCCAAAGAAUCAUAUUAAACAGCCCCCUCCCCAAAACUAUUCCAUCUCGCAACCAUAGCAGCGAAGCAACGACACACCGAGCGAUAAUUCGUUUUAUAAUUCGCAACACAUCUACCUUAUUGUAUUCAUCCUUUGGAUUAUAUACUCAUAAUCAAAUUUAACAUAUACAUAAUGCCAAAACAGAAUUUUCCCGCAGUUUGCUUUAAUCAAAACAGCCCAAGCACCAACACGACACCACUAAUAAUCCGAUUAUGGUUUCCGUUCAUACUUAGCACAUUCAAUAACUAAAACAAACUUCCUAAGCUACUGGUCACACCCCCAUCUUAAAAUUAAUGGGUAAUUAACAAGGGUAUUCUAAAGAAUUAACACACCAAACAAGGAAAUUACUAACCAAAUUAUUUGCAGCUGCUGGCCAAGAGUUGCAGGGUUGGUUUCUCCAUUUCCAUGGCUGCCUAAGACAAUUGGUGAAGAAGAAGAUGAUAUGCAGCAAUGCAUUUCACCACUUUAUUUAGCAUGGAGUGGAUUUCUCCACCUCAUUUAAUAGUAUGAAGUGGAGGCAGCCCCCCUCUACACCUGUCCACUAUGGCCAGCUCAUAAUCUGAUUUUUUUAAUUUUUUUGCCUUGAGUGUUGGGCCCACUGGAUUAAAUAUUAAUCAGCCACCAAUUAUGAGUGGUGGGGCCCACUGGAUUAAAUUAAUCCUUGCCUAAUAUUUCUUUACGUCUUCUAGAUCACGAUGUGCACUACGUAUAAAAAAAUACGAGGCAUAACACCCGGCCCUCUAGUGAGGAACUCGGUGACAUAUGCAAGAAAAUCUGCACGAACAUUACCCGGUUCGGGACUCGGUGAAAUGAUAAAUGACUCUAUGCACGAGCAGAAUAUUAUGAGCAACCAUAUGCAAUUAAAAUCAUUUCUUAUAACUCAAUAGAACAAUAAACGUGAACCAGCAAAGAGUAUUACCAAAGAUUAAUGUUUUAUCAAGAUUAUGAACCUUUAAUACGAUAUGGAAACGUAAAAUCUCAAUGACUCUAAGAAGCAUUACCAUAGAUAUUAGAGAUCAUCAUAGCCUUAGACAUAGCCGAUAUAUAGAGGAAUAAUUGUGGAAGCAAGAAUAUACGUCACCUAGACGCUCUAGAGGUAAGUAUCAAAUCUGUCCGUUAUUCGCUUAAGUUUAAAAGUCAUGCCAAGCAAAGAAAGAAGGGACAGCGUUACAUACCGUAUAAUCGAGCCGCACGUCCAAUAUUUACCGCUCAAGCUAUUAAUCUAUAACAAGCAACAAUCGUGCCGCAAUUAGAUAAAUAUCGUGCUUUACUUUCUUGUAAGCUAGCUAAUAAUCUAACGAAAAUUCGGCAGCACUUCCCCUAUUUUCCUUACUUCGUCCCAAUCCGACAACAAUCCAAAUUAUCCACAGCAAUACCAAUAACACAUAUAACCCAAAGAAUCAUAUUAAACAGCCCCCUCCCUAAAACAGUUCCGUCUCGGCAACCAUAGCAGCGAAGCAACGACACACCGAGCGAUAACUCAUUUUAUAAUUCGCAACAUAUCUACCUUAUCGUAUUCAUCCUUUGGAGUAUUUACUCAUAAUCACAUUCAACGUAUACAUAAUGCCAAAACAGAAUUUUCCCGCAGUUUGCUUUAAUCAAAACAGCCCAAGCACCAACACGACACCACUAGUAAUCCGAUUAUGGUUUCCAUUCAUACUUAGCACAUUCAAUAACUAAAACAAACUUCCUAAGCUACUGGUCACGCCCCCUUCUUAAAAUUAAUGGAUAAUUAACAAGGGUAUUCUAUAGAAUUAACACACCAAACAAGGAGAUUACUAACCAAAUUAUUUGCAGCUGCUGGCCAAGAGUUGCAGGGUUGGUUUCUCCAUUUCCAUGGCUGCCUAAGACAAGUGGUGAAGAAGAAGAUGAUAUGCAGCAAUGCAUU
rnacentral:lncRNA from 1 species